rnacentral:tRNA from 1 species
UCCUGGAUAGCUCAUUCGGUAGAGCAUGAGACUCCUAAUCUCAGGGUUGUGGGUUUGAGCCCCACGUUGGGCA